CAAAAUGCAAGAACUGCUCUUGGUUCCUCAGUACUACAUACUAUUCAGUACUGAUCAGUUGAACCAUAUUCAACCACAUUAGCAGGAAGAAAGUCCUACUUAUGUAAGGGAACAUGGAAAAGAUGAAAUACUGCUAAAAGGAAAUGCUCUUUUUAUCACUAGUAUGCUUAAUGAACAAAAGAGAGGAUUAUAUCAUUUUUACAUUUUCCUUUCCUAGUUUAUUCCAGUGGUGCAAUUUUUUUACUGUUG
rnacentral:misc_RNA from 1 species